rnacentral:misc_RNA from 1 species
AUGCGAUAAGUAAUGUGAAUUGCAGAAUUCAGUGAAUCAUCGAAUCUUUGAACGCACCUUGCGCUCCUUGGUAUUCCGAGGAGCAUGCCUGUUUGAGUGUCGUUGAAUUCUCACAACCCUUCCCAUAGCCCAAUCUUUCGGUUGGAGAUGGUGGGGGACGCUGUGGAUUGGUGGAGGUCUUGCAGGUGGGGAUUCAUUCCCUCUGCUCCUCUGAAAGGCAUCGCACAACGCAAUGCACGAGAAGCACCUGUCGUCGUCGGUAUGAUACAAGUCUUACCUGGUUCCGAUGGGUGUCGUGCGCGGUCACACAUUUGACCUCAAAUCAGGCAGGACUACCCGCUGAACUUAA